GGGGAAUCUUGCGCAAUGGGCGAAAGCCUGACGCAGCGACGCCGCGUGAGUGAUGAAGGCCUUCGGGUUGUAAAGCUCUGUGGAGGGGGACGAAUAAGUCGGAGCGAAUAGCUCCGAUGAUGACGGUACCCCUUUAGCAAGCACCGGCUAACUCUGUGCCAGCAGCCGCGGUAAGACAGAGGGUGCAAACGUUGUUCGGAAUUACUGGGCGUAAAGCGCGUGUAGGCUGCUCGACAAGUCGGAUGUGAAAGCCCUGGGCUCAACCUAGGAAGUGCAUUCGAUACUGUCGAGCUUGAGUCCUGGAGAGGAAGGCGGAAUUCUCGGUGUAGAGGUGAAAUUCGUAGAUAUCGAGAGGAACACCGGUGGCGAAGGCGGCCUUCUGGACAGUGACUGACGCUGAGACGCGAAAGCGUGGGGAGCAAAC
rnacentral:rRNA from 1 species